rnacentral:snRNA from 1 species
GUGCUCACUGUGGUAACAUGCAUACUAAAAUUAAAGGGAUAAAGAGAAGGGCAUGGCCCCUGUAUAAUGGUGUCAGACAAAUUCAUGAAGUAUUCCAUAUUUCU